AGUAGGCUCGGGGCACACCAUUCUCCCGGGUUCACGCCAUUCUCCUGCCUCAGCCUCCUGAGUAGCUGGGACUACAGGCGCCCACCACCACGCCCGGCUAAUUUUUUUGUGUUUUUAGCAGAGACAGGGUUUCACCGUUUUAGCCAGGAUGGUCUCGAUCUCCCGCCCUCGUGAUCCGCUCUCCUCGGCCUCCCAAAGUGCUGGGAUUACAGGCGUGAGCCACCGCGCCCGGCCAUCUUAAUUCUUUUUUCUUUUUUUUUUUUUUUUGAAACCGAGUCUCACUCUUGCCCAGGCUGGAGUGCAGCGGCGUAAUCUCAGCUCACUGCGACCUCCGCCUCCCGGGUUCAAGCGAUUGUCGUUCCUCAGUCUCCUAAGUAGCUGGGACUACAGGCGUGAGCCACCAUGACCGGCUAAUCAUCUUAAUUAUUAAUGAAGUGAUCCUUUCUCUGGGACCACUAACCCCUUUGAACAUUUUUUUUUUUGACAGGGUCUCACUCUGUUGCCCGGAGUGCAAUGGUGCGAUCUCGGCUCACUGCAACCUCUGCUACCCAGGCUCAAGCUGUUCUCCCCACCUCAGCCUCCCCAGUACCUGGGACUCCAGGUGUGUGCCACCACGGCCUGCUAAUUUUUGUUUUGUUUUGUUUUGUUUGUAGAGAUGGGGUUUCGCCAUAUUGCCCAGGCUGGGACUCAAGAGAAGCGAUCUUCCAGCCUCAGCCUCUUAAAGUGCUGGGAUUACAGGUGUAAGCCACCGAGCCCGCCCUCUUUGAACAUCUCCAAGAGAUAUAGGCGUUGUUUCCAGAAAAAUGUGCAAAUACGUCAGACUCGCAGUUUAAGGAAACAUCUUUUCAAGACCAACGCAAUUUACACGUCUGUCUGUGGAGAACUCUGACUCAUACACCAAACAAGAUGUCACCCUGCAACAUUCUAACAAAACUUCUAGUCAAAGUCACAGAUGACCUCUGCAAUGUAAAUCCAAAGUUCCCCAGUCGAUCUCCAACAAUUUCGUGGCUUUAAAUAUUAUCUAUAUAUGGACGAUCCUCAAAUUUGUAUUGCGAGCCGAGAUCAUUCUCUUGCAUUCAAGACUACAACUGCCUACUUAACAUCUUCACUUGGAAAUCUAACGGAAAUCUCAAACUUGAUAGGACCAAAACCCAGAUCCGGGUCUCAAUGCGUUCCUCCCACAGCAUUCCUUAUUUCAGUUAAUGAGUCUUCCACCCUUCCUGUUACUUAGGUCAGAUAUCUUAGAGAUACACUCAAUUUCUCCCUUUCUGUCUCACCUGGGAUUAGAGGCGUGCACCACCACACCUAGCUAAUUUUUGUAUUUUUAGUAGAGAUGGGGUUUUACCAUGUUGGUCAGGCUGGUCUCAAACUCCUGACCUCAGGUCAUCCACCGCCUCAGCCUCCCAAAGUUCUGGGAUUAUAGGUGUGAGCCACCACGCCUGGCGGCUUACCUUUCUUCAGGCUAUCCUCAGGACAAUAACCAGAGUGAUCCUAUUAAAUCACAAAUCAAAUCCUGUCAUUACUUAAAAUCCUCCUGGGCUGGGCGCGGUGGCUUAUACCUGUAACUCCAACACCUUGGGAGGCCGAGGCGGGCAGAUCAUGAGGUCAUGAGUUUGAGACCCGCCUGACCAACAUAGUGAAACCCUUUCUCUACUAAAAAUACAAAAAUUAGCCGGGCGUGGUGGUGUGCGCCUGUAAUCCCAGCUACUCAGGAGGCUGAGGCAGGAGAAUAACUUGAACCUGGGAGGCGGAGGUUGCAUUGAGCCGAGAUCGCGCCACUGCACUCCAGCCUGGGUGACAGAGCGAGACUCCAUCUCAAACAAACAAACAAACAAACAAACAAAAAACCAAAAACCCAAAACCAUCCCAGGCUACCCACCUUAUGUUACAGUUAAAGCCAAAAUCCUUUCAAUGGCUGGUGAGGCCUUCUGCAUCUGAACUCACCUACAUUGCUGACCUCAUCUACACUACUGACCUCAUCUCCCACCACCUUCCUCCUCCCUCUCUGGGUUCAGCCAUACUUGCCUCCUUGCCAUUCCCGGAUGAGGUCCCUGGAAACCUCAGAUGAUGUCUUGCUUUAGGGCUUUUGCACACUUUCUUCCCUCCAUCUGGAAUCCUCUUCCCUCAGCUGACCACGUGAUUUGUUUCCAUACUUCCUUCAGGUUUUCACACAAAUGUCAUUUUCUAAGUGAGGCAUUCUCUUAAUUAUACUAUUUUAAAUUAACCCCCUACGUGAUGGCAUGUGUCUCUAGUCCCAGUUACUCAGGACUCUGAGGCAGGAGGAUUGCUUGAACCCAGGAGUUUGAGACCAGAAGGAUCAAGAGAAUAUUUUUGAUCCAGCCUAAAAAAAUUAUUAAAUGUCCUAAAAUUUUUCAAUUUUUCUUCACAACACUAAUCACUAUCUAAUAUGUUUCCCACUUAUUUAACUCUUCUGUCUACUCCCACUAGAAUGUGAGCCCUAUCAGGGUAAAAAUCAUGUUUAACGUACUGCUGUAUCCAAUGCCUAGAACUGUGACUAGCACAUAGUAGGUUCUGAAUAAAUAAGAGUUGUUUGAGAAUGGAAUAAAUCUACAUGUACAGAGAUAUGCACUGCAG
rnacentral:lncRNA from 10 species